rnacentral:lncRNA from 1 species
CAAAAGAGACACCACAACCGGCUUCAUAACUUCAACUAGAAUGCAGUUAAAAACACGGAUUGCUGCCUUGCUGGUGAGAAAUCUACCUCCAUGUUUCAAUGAUAUGCCACCUCCACUCCUGGUCAAUAUAUUUAUAUAAUAAACAAUAUAAAAAAGAUAUAUAUAUAUAUAUUUCCCUGAAUAUUUGCCGUCCACACAUG